rnacentral:rRNA from 1 species
AUUGAACGCUGGCGGCAGGCCUAACACAUGCAAGUCGAGCGGAUGACGGGAGCUUGCUCCUUGAUUCAGCGGCGGACGGGUGAGUAAUGCCUAGGAAUCUGCCUGGUAGUGGGGGACAGCGUUUCGAAAGGAACGCUAAUACCGCAUACGUCCUACGGGAGAAAGCAGGGGACCUUCGGGCCUUGCGCUAUCAGAUGAGCCUAGGUCGGAUUAGCUUGUUGGUGAGGUAAUGGCUCACCAAGGCGACGAUCCGUAACUGGUCUGAGAGGAUGAUCAGUCACACUGGAACUGAGACACGGUCCAGACUCCUACGGGAGGCAGCAGUGGGGAAUAUUGGACAAUGGGCGAAAGCCUGAUCCAGCCAUGCCGCGUGUGUGAAGAAGGUCUUCGGAUUGUAAAGCACUUUAAGUUGGGAGGAAGGGUUGUAGAUUAAUACUCUGCAAUUUUGACGUUACCGACAGAAUAAGCACCGGCUAACUCUGUG